UAGGGAAUAUUGCACAAUGGGCGAAAGCCUGAUGCAGCAACGCCGCGUGUGCGAUGAAGGUCUUCGGAUCGUAAAGCGCUUUUGAGAGGGACGAGAUAGGACGGUACCUCUUGAAUAAGUCACGGCUAACUACGUGCCAGCAGCCGCGGUAAAACGUAGGUGGCAAGCGUUAUCCGGAUUUACUGGGCGUAAAGCGCGUGCAGGCGGAUUGGAGAGUUGGAUGUGAAAGCUCCCGGCUUAACUGGGAGAGGUCGUUCAAUACUUCCAGUCUUGAGUGCAGUAGAGGGAAGUGGAAUUCCGGGUGUAGUGGUGAAAUGCGUAGAUAUCCGGAGGAACACCAGUGGCGAAAGCGGCUUCCUGGACUGUAACUGACGCUCAGACGCGAAAGCUAGGGUAGCAAACG
rnacentral:rRNA from 1 species